GCUUUGCAUGUUACACUUAUCUUCCACCUCUCACACAUACAGCCAUAUAUAACUACAUCAUCACCCUCACUUCAUUUCCACCUCAACAAUUCAUCACUCAUGGAGAGAAAAACUUUCAGCUUCUUGCUCUUGCUCCUUCUUGUCUUAGCCUCUGAUGUGGCUGUAGAGAGAGGAGAAGCUAAAAUUUGUUCGACAAAGAACGAAGAGUGGGCAGGAAGAUGCAUAGAUUAUGACGGCACGUGUCAAAAAUGGUGCAGGAACGGAGGUUAACAAGGAGGCUGGUGCAGAGGCCCGCGCUCCUGCUAUUGCCUCUUCAACUGUUGAACUUCACAACCUUUUCGUAUAUCAUAUCAUGUUAUCACAAAUAAAUAUAGUAGCAUCACUGCUACUAGUACUACGUUGGACCACACCUCCGAUACUAUCGAAAAUUUGUCUGGAAGAAGGUGUUGUCAGUAUUGAAAAAUAUAAUGUUUUUAAAGUGCAUUAGAAUUAAUAUUUAAAGAAAAUACAGUUUAAUUAUUUUA